rnacentral:rRNA from 1 species
AACGUAGGACACAAGCGUUAUCCGGAGUUACUGGGCGUAAAGGGCGUGUAGGCGGACCUAUAAGUCUAUUCUGAAAGCUCCUGGCUAAACUGGGAGAGGCGAAUGGAGGCUGUAGAUCUAGAGUGAGGAAGAGGAAAGUGGAAUUCCGCGUGUAGUGGUGAAAUGCGUAGAGAUGCGGAGGAACACCAGUGGCGAAAGCGACUUUCUGGUCCUUAACUGACGCUGAGGCGCGAAAGCAUGGGGGAGCGAACGGG